rnacentral:rRNA from 1 species
UAACGCGAAGAACCUUACCAAGGCUUGACAUAUACCGGAAAGCAUCAGAGAUGGUGCCCCCCUUGUGGUCGGUAUACAGGUGGUGCAUGGCUGUCGUCAGCUCGUGUCGUGAGAUGUUGGGUUAAGUCCCGCAACGAGCGCAACCCUUGUUCUGUGUUGCCAGCAUGCCCUUCGGGGUGAUGGGGACUCACAGGAGACUGCCGGGGUCAACUCGGAGGAAGGUGGGGACGACGUCAAGUCAUCAUGCCCCUUAUGUCUUGGGCUGCACACGUGCUACAAUGGCAGGUACAAUGAGCUGCGAUGCCGUGAGGCGGAGCGAAUCUCAAAAAGCCUGUCUCAGUUCGGAUUGGGGUCUGCAACUCGACCCCAUGAAGUCGGAGUUGCUAGUAAUCGCAGAUCAGCAUUGCUGCGGUGAAUACGUUCCCGGGUCUUGUACACACCGA